ACUGGCAGCCAUAUCACCCUGUAGCCCAAGUCUGGUUACCCACUGAAGCUAAGUGGGGUUGAGCCUGGUCAGUACCUGGAUCGGAGACUAGGUUGCUGCUGGAA
rnacentral:rRNA from 1 species